CCUUAAUUUGGUAGACACUAUUUUUGAGUUGCUCUUUUCCCCACUUAACAUAAUUUUGCAUGCAUAUUUCUAUGUAUUGGUCUAGAUUGUCUAAUUUUAGUGGUUACAUAGUAUUUCUUGCUGAAUUAAGGCGUGUCAUGUGCUGGGGUGUAGUAGGCACUUGUAAGAUGUUUGUUUCCAGGUUCAGUAAAACCCAGAGUUGAAAAGGCGCUGUUUUCUGCAGAAGUUCUGCUGGUGGGAACUGUGGUUCUGGGAGGCUCUGGGAAAGCCUGGCAUGGGUGAUGUCCUCGUGCCUGCCUGCCAGGUGACACCCAGCCUCUGUAGCUGGCGACCUGCUAGGUAAGUGUGUUGUCAGUGCAGACAUUUAAGUGACAGAUAGCGGGGUGAUCUUUUACUAGAGUACUGUUCCCCAAGUGCAGGGAAAGCAUUUGUGGGCUGUGAAGCAAAACUUGGGAGUCAGAGAGUCUUUGCGGGGGCAGAUGGGGAGGAAAAGCAGCCCACAAGGAGGAGGUGGAAAGCCCGGAGGGAGGGAUUGGCAGCAGCUGUGUGGAAAGGGCCCGGGUUCCAGAGCCAGACUGACCUUGAAUCGACUCUGACCCUUGGGGUUGUCCCUCAUGUGCUGCGACUGGGUACAUUCUUAGUCUCUGUGUACAUCAAUUUUCUGUGCUGUAAGAUGGGGCUUGUCAUAUCCGUUCCAUGAAGAUGUUGGGAGGAUCAGGAUAAUCUCAUAAGCACAUAAUACAGCGCCUGGAGUCUAAUAAGCAUGCUGUGUACACGAUAGUUUUUACUAUUUGGUGUGAAGUGUGUGGUCCCUGUUAGGCCUGCAGCUCACAACAGUAGAGGUUGUUUUAUUGUUACCUGCAUGCAUAUGUGCUCAGUGGUUCAGUUGUGUCUGACUCUUUGUGACCCCAUGGACUAUUGCCCACCAGGCUCCUCUGUCCAUGGGAUUCUCCAGGCAAGAAUACUUGAGUUGGUUGCCAUUUCACUCUCCAGGGGAUCUUCCUGACCCAGGGAUCAAUCCAGUGUCUCCUAUAUUGGCAGGUGGAUUCUUUACCGUCUGAGCUGCCUGGGAAGUCCCUACUCAGCUCAUUCAUUUAUUCGCCACACACACAGUAGCCCAACUUUGUGCCUUGGUCCAAUAUACAGUAGCAAAGAAAACAGGCAUGGUGAUGGACUGUAAUCAAAUCACCCCACAAAUGUGCACUUACAGACCAUGAUAAGAGCUGUGAAAGAAAAGUACACGGCCUUUAGGUUGGGGGAGGAGCUCUCUCUCUCUUUUUAUGAGACACUUAAUUUCAUUAGUGAUCAGUGAAUACAAGUCACAAUGAGAUUCCAUAUCCCCAUUUGAUUGUCAAACAUUGAGAAGCUGUGCAGUAGCAAGCACUGGAAAGAACAUAGAUCACUGUGGCGUUUUAUGUGCUGCUGGUCGGUAUGUAAACAGAUGCAACCCCUUUGGAAAACAAUCUGGUAUUAUCUCCUGUGCACCUGUGGCAUAGCCUGGCAUUUCUACUUCUGAGUGUAAAGUUGCCAUAAGAAGCUCAUUCACGUUGGCACACUAAGAGGUAUACUAAGAAUGUUCCUUGUGGCGCUGUUGAUACUAGCUAAAAACUGGAAACCAAGGUGCUCAUCAGCCGGAGGAUGGGUCAAAACAUUCUGGUCACACGAUGGGCUGUUAUCUGGCAGGAACACGAAUGCACAACCAUUUCCCUGCAAUGAUCUGAGUGAAUCUUAGUCAUCUAAGGUUGAAUUUAAAUAAGCAAGACCCUGGGGACUUCCCUGGCAGUCCAAUAGUGAAGACUCUGCCUUCCACCGCAGGGUGCAUGGGUUCAACCCCUGGUCUGGGGACUAAGACCCUGCAUACAGUAGGGCGUGGCCAAAACAUUAAAAAAAAAAAAAAAGAAAAAUUAACUUAAAAGAAAAAGCAAUACCCUGAGUAUUCCAUACCAUAUGAUACUUUUGGAAUAUAUUUUAAACUCAACAAAUAUUUAAAAUACAUUAUUUAGGGGUACAGAUAUAUAUAAGUGAUAGUCAAUCAUGUCCGACUCUUUGUGACCCCAUGAACUGUAGCCCGCCAGGCUCCUCUGUCCAUGGGAUUCUCCAGGCAAGAAUACUGGAGUGGGUUGCCAUGUUCUCCUCCAGGGGAUCUUCCUAACCCAGGGAUCCAAUCUGGGUCUUCUGCAUUGCAAGCAGAUUCUUUACAGUCUGAGCCAUUAGGGAAGCCCAAACUUAAAUUAUAAACCCAUAAAUAUGAGUUGGUGGGUUCAUGGGUUCCUUUCUGUGGGAAAGACAUGUGGAUGUUUUUGUGAUGAGAUCCCCACAUGCAGGAUAGAUACGGGAGCCAGGAGAAGCCAGCUCUCAGUUUGAAGGCACAGUAGGCUUUUUUUUAGGUUUUGCUUUGGAAACUUUUUAAAGACCAAAUUAUGAAAUGUUACCCAUCAAAGUAGUGACAUUAGGUGCAAGUGUGUGCAUUUCUUUUUUUUUUUUAGUCAUUAGAAGUGUAUGUUUUUGAUGACUACAAAUGCAGAUAGGAUAUGGGAAACUGGCUGUAUCUGAUAUGUAUCAUUUCCUGCAUAUGCAAGGUGGUGCUGGGAGAUGUCAGCGCUGAAGGGCUGUGUUUGCAGCCAGGUGUGAGAUUCCUUGUCACAAGGCUGCUGUCACCAUGAAGGGACAGAUGUGACUGGGUGAUGAGGCCUUCUCGGUUUGGUGCCAGGGUUUGCAGGCAGAACUAGUUCAGAGAUGAGUAAGAAGGGGGCACUUUCUGUUUGUAGAUUCAAGCUCAAAUGUGCAUAUUGAAACUCUUCCUCACUUUCCCUCUUCUAGUCGAUGGGCCUUGAGGCAUCCUUAUCUCAUUUGUGGAAAGACAGAAGAGGAGGUGGAGGGAACACCUUUGUAUGAACGAACCAGCUUACAGAGAGGAGUUGGGGAUGGGCUGAAGGAGAGCUGAGUUCCUCUGGGAUGAAUGGUGCAUGUUGGGAAGGUUCAAAAAGAUGAUCUUAACAGGCUGCUUGACUUGAGGCAACAUCCGAAGCCACCAGAAGAGCAGAAUGGCUGCCAGACGAGCAGGGCAUCCUGGGCAGUGGUAACUGAAGGAAGAAAACUUGCAGAGGGAGGAAGGAGUCCAGAGGAGGAGGAGAUGGGUAUGAAGAGGGGUUGGGAAGCCAGAUCACACACAGCGGCUGCUCGAGAGAAUGGGAAAUGUUUCACGUGCUUGGACAUUUAACAAGCAUGUGAAGAGCAGAGUUGUUCCAUGUGGUUCCAGAAGGUAAAGCUAGAAUGGAAAGGUGGAAACUACAGGAGGAGGUAUUUGGUCUUGGUAUAUAUAUCAGUGUUUCUCAAGCUGCAGUUGGCAUUCCAUUAGUGGGUUGUGCAAUCAAUCUAGUGACUAAACCAGCAGUUUUAAACAAAUGAAACAGAAUAGAAAGGUUGAAAUAGAAUUGGAAAAAAAGACUUGAGUGGAUCAGAUGUGUAUGGGUCAGUUUUAUUUAUGAAAUAUUUGUUCAGUUUUAUGUAUUUAUAUGUAUAUGUUGAUAUUUUAUAUACUGAGUCAUGGUAUAAUAUCUUAUUAGGGGUAAGGUGGAAAAGUUUGAAGGCCAUUGAUAUGAGCUACCUGUUAUGAGCAUUUAAUAACAAUACUUAACAUUUAUUGAGCUGGUGGCUCAGAUGGUAAAGAAUCUGCCUGCAGUGCAGGAGACCUGGGUUUGAUCCCUGGGUUGGGAAGAUCCCCUGGAGAAGGGAAUGGCAGUCCACUCCGGUAUUCUUGCCUGAAAAAUUCCCUAGACAGAGGAGCCUGGCAGGCUACAGUCCAUGGGGUCGCAGAGUCAUCGGACAUGACUGAGCAACCAGCACUUUCACUUUCACUUUCCACUGUGCAGGCACUUUGCUAAGCACUUUAUAUACAUUUUCUCAUUUCAAUUUUACAACAACCCUUGUAAGCAGGUAUUAUUGUUCCCAUCUGAGAGAUGAGCAAGUUCAAGUUCACAGAGGCCAAGUGACUUUCCCAGUGUCAAGGAGCGUGUAAGAGGCUGAGCUUGGAACUGAACUCAAGUCCAGGUCUCUUAAAAGCCUGUGCGUAUGUCAGAAAGAGAAAAACACAUACCAUGCAAUAUUUACUUGUAGGUGGAAUCUAAAAUAUGAUACAAAUGAGCUUAUCUAUGAAACAGAAACAGACUUAUCUGUGAAACAGGGAAAACGGGGAACUGACUUGUGGUUGCCAGGGUGGGGUGGGUGAAGGAUGGAUUGGGUGCGGUAAAUGCAAACUGACGUAUAUGGAAUGGAUGAACAAUGGGUCCUACUGUUAGCACAGGGAGCUGUAUUCAAUAUCCUCUAGUAAACAAUAAUGGCAAAGGAUAUGAAAGGGAACAUGUAUACGUAUGACUGACUUGCUUUGCCAUACACCAGAAACUAACACUGUGUUGUAAAUCAACUACACUUCAAUCAAAUAAAUAAAAAGUCUGUGGAAUAAAACCCUACCUAAUUAAAAAAACCAACUCCUGUGCAUAUAAUUGUGACCGCUCUCCAAUGCAAGAAGAACCAUUGGAGUGUCCAUCACAUGGCACGGGUUGCCUGGAAAAGUGAGAAUUGCUGGAGCAGAGGCUGGGUGGCCACCUGUCAGGGGCCGUGGAGACGGGGCCUGUGCUGUCAUAAUGAUCGCCCUCCGACACUCUGUGGCAUAGCCUAGGAGGCCACUUGUCCCUUGUCCCUCUUUAACAUCAAUCCCAACUCUGGAGUUUCUUUGAUUUUCAAUUGGAAUGUGAUUUGAUUAACAUAUAGAUUUAGAUUUGUUUAGGUGGGAUUUUUUAAACAAGUUUUCUCAUUUUUCUGUAAUGAAUGUGCAUUUAUUUUGUGAUUGCAAAAAGUCAUUAAAAAUGAAAUGUUUUCUGGAGUGAACACAAAUCAAUUUUAUAAUUUACAAAAGUCAUUGAAAAGAAUAAUGCUGCAUUGCAACAAAAGACUUUAAUUAAGAAUUCUUGCUGGCAAGUUUCUGAAGACAGCUGGCAAUUGCUGCUCCCCCUUUUGUGUGGGCUGGGGAAGCUGUGUGUGAACCACAGGAGGCCAUGGACUGCAGCUUCUCAUCAGUUGCCUGGACCAGACAACCCUCCCUGCACAGAGCAGGAUGAGGCAGGGGUUGUGGCUUGGGGGAGCCCCUUUUCCCUCUCAACUGUGAAGUGAAGCUUCCAUGGAUCCUCCCUUUUUGUUUUUGUGUUUUUGGCCAUACUGCACAGCAUAUGGGAUCUUUAGUUCCCAACCAGGGAUCGAACCUGUGCCCCUUGCAAUGGAAGCUUGGAGGCUUAACCACUGGACCCACAGGGAAGUCUCCCAUUAACCCUCUUCAAAGCUGGGAAGGAUCCUAGAAGUCAUCCCCACUAACCUCUUUGUUUUAGAUAAGAGAAAACUGAAGUCCUAAAGAAGGGAUGUGACUUAGCUUUGCUCUUGACCCACUGCAUGAGAAGCAGAACUGGGAUCACCUCUCGGAUGGGUUAGAUUAUGCUGCUUCCCCCCAAAAAAAGAGGGUCCAGAAAGUUGGUUGAGUUUGUGGGAGGAAUAAAGAGCAAAGAAGGGGCAAACCUUCUAAUUUUAAUUUCAUAGGAGAGUUCCAAAAUGGAGGUGAGGGGAAUGUGGUCUAGUUGGAAGAAUCUCAGCUUAGGAGUUGACCUGAGUUCUGCUCCCAGCUUUAAAACUCCCUGUGUAAACUUGGUUGAAUCACUUACUCACUGUUGGAGGACAGAUUAAUUCUUGUUCCUCGUGUAUUGCUUAGUCAACACACUGCAGGCGUACUCAUCCCCAGCAGAGGAUGUCCUCAGGCUUAUUUCCUUCCAGAGCCAGUGGCCUAAUCUUCACAGUGGAGUUGCCAUUAGUGGUGUUCUCUGGAACUUCAGGCCACAGUAGAGAUUCUCCAGAUUGGUAGUUGCCAGCCAUUGGGGAACCUAUAGAGUAUGGUUGCUACAUGAGUGUGAGGUGUGAGCUCAACUCUUUGAUCAACUUCUCAAAUUCAGAGAUUGUGUUUUCUGAAUCCUCACUGUGCAUGGUAGAGUGCUGAGGUUCUGCGUACUAUAGACGCCUGAUUCACUGAAUUGGUGGUGUGUGUGUACGUAUUGUGUGAGUAGUUUGUGGGUCACAUGGAAGUGGGAUGGUCUACAUUCAAGCAGUCUGAUUUUUGCUCUGUUGAUGGACUGUCUGCAUGAAGCUUAAAUAUAAGCUGUCUGACUUCAGAAUCAAGUCAUGUCGGGGAGCUCUGUGGUUUGUGAUGGGGUUGAUUUGAAGUGGGUCACUCUGCCUAAGUAGGCAACCCAAGGGAAAGGGGUCAGGAGAAGGGGAGUGGGGAGAGGCAGAAGCUUCUUCUAGGCUUCGAAGUUACCCAAGGAGCUGAGCACAGUAAGGAAGUCACUAGGACUGUGGCAUUGUGAUUGGCCUCCAGACUCAUCUCAGAUGGAUCAUAAAAGAGCUGAUAAAUUUCUCUUCGGUGGCCUAUCUUGGAUACGAGAUUCUCACUGGUUAAGGUCAUCAUUCCUUUGACCCAGGAUGCAACACAAAUGUUACCUUUCCUGAUGGACUCAGCUGAGAGGGUAGGCAGAUGUGAUUGUUGUUGGGGUUUGUUUUACGCUCUGUUAUCAAAGCUAUUAAUAUGACACUUUAAGGCUUUAUGACUUGAUUAGUGGCAUCAGCAUUUGAAAGAGCUGGCUUAGGGCUGCUGUUAAAGGUUAUGGGAAGAGUAAUUAAGUGGUAGUUGUGAAAUGCAGGGGUGGUUUCUGUUUACCAACGGCUUUGCAGGGAGCCCUGCUAGUUACUGAACCCCCAUGGUGAAUUUUUCAAGAAAAUGAGUUGGUUAGUUUGGGUGCUCUGCUAUUGACUCCAGACAGCCCUCAGUUUUUUCUCUGCCUGUGGUUAAUGCCCUUAAUCUACUGCCUGGGAGCACCCUCCAUAUCAUUUAGUCCUCUGCUUCUCAGAGCGUCGCCCCUGGACCAGUGGCAUCUGGCAUUACCCAGAACCGAAGGUUGCAGAAUCAGGACCUGUGUUAAGAUCCUCGAGUGAUCUGGGUACCCUUUAGGUUUGAGAAGUGCUUGGGCUAGCACCUGUGCCCCCUGAGGUUAGAGAUUUGUGGCGAUGUGGUUUCUGUUGUGUAGUGUAAUAAACUAUUUAAACCCUAAUGCAGAGGUAUAAUUCCCAGUCUUCAGUUAGAGCCUGGACUCUGUGUGUGUGUGUGUGGGUGGGUGUGUGUGUGUCCAUUGUCACUUGUGGCAUCAGCAUAGGCUUGUGGUUUACAGUCCUCCCCACAGCUCGCCGAGUUCUUGGCACAAAUAGUCAUUUCUUUGAAUGCAAGUCUGGCAUCCUAGAAUGUGGGGAGUGUGACCAAAACACCACUUUCUUCCUGUUACUCCCCUGCACAGGAGCCCACGGUGGCUCCCACUGUCUGCUGUGUCACGUCCAAACCUCUCGCUGUGGCUCCCAGGCUUAUCUGCCCCACUUUCUAUACCACUGGCACAUAUUGGGCUGAGCUUCCCUGCAGCCUGGCUUUGGGUCCCUUGCUUAUAGUGUUUUUCCCGCCGUCUUCCUGGUGGUCAGUGGUUUCUCUGUUCUCUGCCCUUCUGAUUUGCUCUGCUGUACUAUGGUGUCCCUGGUUGUUCUGGGAUGCUUAUUGAGGCCUUGUGGUUACUUGCGGGCAGGUCUUAACCCCUCAGUCAGAUAACACACUUUUAUUUAUUUUUUUCCAGUUGUAUUGAGAUAUAAUUCGCAUAUAGUACUAUUAAGUUCAAGGUAUACAGCUCAAUGAUUUUUUUUAAACAGAUUACAUAGACUCUCAAUGAACUUUAUUUAUUAAAUGUGAUUUGGCUUGCAUACAUCAUGAAGCAAUCACUGCAGUAAGUUUUAGUGAACCUCCAUCAUCUCAUAUAGAUAAUAAAAGAAAAAAAUUAUUUUUUUUCUCUUGUGAUGGGAACUCUUGGGAUCCAUGCUUUUAGAAGGUAGGAAUACCCUUGUAUGUCAGGGACCCCAAGCAUCUGGCAGGUGUCUAAUGAUUGAACACCUGUGGAUUUCUUGGUAGGCCAAGGAUUUGGUGUGAGUAGGGUGAGGUGGAUUUCAGAACGGGAAUGCAAAGAUAGGUUAAUGUUAGGAUUUCUAAGCUCCCCAUAUUAAAGGAUUCAAAGAGAGAAUAUGAUGCUAAAAGGUUUAUGAGAAAUUAAGGAUCUAUUUAUAAUAAAAACUCAUAAUAUAGGAAUAAUUAGAUACCUCCUCAUCGUGAGAAAAUAUAUCUUUAUCAGGGUGAUAGCCAGAUUUUGCUUAGUAUUGAAGUGGUGGAUACUAGAUACAUUCCAAUUUAAAAAGUUCAGGUUUACUAAACUUACUGCAGUAAUUGCUUCAUGAUAUAUGUAAACCAAAUCAUUAUGCUAAAAUUAUUAAGUACCAUAAUUAUAUAACCUUGUUUUGGAGGGAUAAGCUGGUAUAAUUAGAUAAGAGAAAGAAUUAAGAGGUAUAAAAACUACUAAAAACAAUAAGAGAAUUCAGUAAGGUCAUUGAGUAUAUAAUUAAUGCACAGAAAUCAGUAAUUCUCCCAUGAAAUGAUAUUCAACUAGAAAACAUGAUGAAGAAAAAAAAUUUCACUUAUGUAAGCAGCAAAAGAGAGGAAAAAAAAUAGUUAUGAGCUCAAUAAAAAAUAUAUUUAUGUGCAGCUUCAGUGCUACUAAGGGGCAUAAAAGGCUUAAACAAGAUAAUAUAACCCUGGCUAGAAGGUCAGUGUUAUAAAAAUCUAUCAUUUAAGAUGUGAUCACAAUAAAAUUACCAAUAGGAUUAUUUUGGUAGUAGAAGACUGAUUCUAAGUUCAUAUGGGAAAAUUAGCUUACAUGAAAAUACAUAAAAGAAGAAGAGGGGAUAGUUCUAACAGAUAUUAAAUAUUUUAAAAGCUAUCGUGAUUAGGAUAACUUGGUACUGAAUAGAUUGAACAGAUGAGACAGAAUAGAGAGCCCUGAAAUAAAUAGCCCUGGGGAUGCAUAUUUGUGUGUGUAAUUUGUGAUAAAGGCAGUUUUUCAAAUUUGUGGGGAAAGAUAGUAACUUCAUACCAUAUUACCACCUUGGGGGAAUACAUUUAGCAGGCGCUGUACUUUCUGUCUCAGGUCCAAAUAAGUCUAUCAAAGAUGUAAAUGAAGAAUGAAAGUAUUAGAGUACUAGAAGAAUUUUUCUGCGGUCUUGGAAUAGAGAGGCAUUUCCAAGUUUGACACAAAUCCUGGAAGACAUAAAAUGAAAGAUUGAUAUCUUUGACAACAUAGAAAUGAGAACUUCUGUAAUGAGAAAGACAGCAUCAACAAAGUCAAAAGAUAUACGAUACCCUGAGGAAAAAAUAUUUGCUGCAAAUGUGAUAAAAAGAGCUAAUUCUCUCAAUAUGCAAAGAGCUCUUAGAAUUCAAGAAGGAGCAUUAACUUAAUUGAAGAACGGGCAAAGGACAGGAACAGAAAAUCAUAAGAAAAGAAGAGUAAAUGAGUCUCUGAAAGACAAGAUGCACAAGCUCUCUUAUAAUAAAACAUGCAAAUCAGAACUACAGUGAAAUGGCGCUUGUAAUCCAUCAGAUUAGGAAAGAUCAAAACCUAAGUUGGUGAGGAUGUAAAGAAAACAUGCUUUUGUACAUUGCUGGUGAGAAUAAGUGGAUACACUGGUUUGGAAAGCAAUUUGUGAUUUUUAUUUAAAUUGUUAGGUGCUCAUAUCUUAGGGCCCAGCGGUUCUCUUUCCUAGGUAGGUAUCUGCUCUAGAGAUACAUUCACAUACAUGCACAGUCUUCACUGAACGUUGUUGUAAUAGUGGAAAAUUAGGCACAGUAAUGUAAAUAUCCGUUGGAUGGAGACGUAAAUAUUUAUUUAUUUAGUAAGGGCAAAAUAAAACAGGUGGUUCAGACCAUUAGUGAGUCAAUAAAUCAACUUAGUGGGUUGUGACACAGUGUGAAACAAAGAAUAGAAAAUAACAGUGCGUGGCAUGGAGCGGGUAAAUAUCUGGUGAGAUUUUUGUUUCAGUUUUGCACAUUCACAAGUGUGAACUGGGUCACAUAUCUCUUACUGUGGGACUCAGGCAGCAAAGUUGGAAAAACACUGCCAGAAGAGUAGAAAGGAAUAUAUUAGGUUGAUGGCUUAGGGUAAGAAUAGGUCUGAGAAAUGUAAUGUGGAGUUUAAAAAAAAAAAAAAAGCAAAUUGCAUAAUGGUCUGUACAAUGGUAUGCCAUUUUUGAAAAUGUAUAUUUUUGGUGGAAUCAUGUAUUCAUACAAAACAGGCCUGAAAUAUGUGCACCAGGCUCAUAUCAGAGAGGCCUUCUGGCGUGGUAUUGAGAGAGGCCUUGGCUUUAAAUUACAUGCUUUAAUUUGUCAAAAGGAAAGUAUGAGUGUUUUACUUGUGUACUUAAAUGAGCAAAAAAUGUUUACACAUUAUAGAAGGACUUUGCAACAAAUCCAUUAAGUCCCCAUGUUUUUCCCUCUGUUGAUUUGCAUUUUUCUAACUAAUUUUCUUUCACUUAUCAGUUUAAGUGUCUUUCCUCUAGCUUUAAACUGAGUAUCUUAUAAAUUCGCAUCAGCUUGUUAACUUUGUUUUUCAGCUAUUAGUUUAAGAUUGUACAUAAAAUUCUUCAAACAGUGUAAUCAGUGGCUCAUUUAUUGGAUCUUUAUAUGUCUUUUCUAAGUUUUCCAGCUUAUUCUUUGGGAAUUAAUUGGGCCCCUGGUUUAGUUAUCUCAGAUAUUUUUUCUAAGAGCCAACUUCGACUUUCAUCCUCUUCUCUGACAUUUGUUUGUAUUAUUGUUUUUUACUUUGGUGUUCACAUUUCCUUUUUCUCCUUCCUUUUUGCCUUCCACAAAUUUCCUUCAACAGCAGUGCUUCUCAAAUUUUAGGGUGCCCGUGAAUCACAUGGGGCCUGGAGCCUCAGUUAAAUGUGGAUCCAGCAGGCUGGUGGUGAGACCCCAGACUCUGCAUUUUGAAUGCACUCCAAUUGGGGCUGACCUCCAGGGAGCCAGAAAGUAGAGGCAGUGGCCCCUGCUUCUCCUCUGACCUUAGGGCACCAAGUAUUCAAGUGUCUAAUAGCCAGCGAACCCUCCAACUGUAUAAAUAUGAUGCCCCAAGUAUGUCCAAAAAAUUCAUACUCAUCUCCUUUAAUGUAGUGAAAAUGGGAUGUCCUGCCUCACUCUCUGGCUCCAGGCGGGACUGACCACCACACAGUUUCCAGGUGAUCCGAAAGGACAGAAGGGGUCAUGGCUGCAGAAUUUCUUAAGGCAUAUUCGGUUGGUUGAGCUGACCACCUUUGCUCAGCACAGCUGUCUGGGCUCUGCUGCUUUAGCUGACUUUUUAAGCACAUUUUGGGUCGGUUGUUCUGAGCCUCUUUGGAAGUCCAUGGACCUGUUAGUGGGAAUAUGAUGCAAGCUGUGGACUUCCUCUCCAGAAAUACGCCACCUCCACUUGUGCAUACUGAAACUCCAGUUUUCCUUUUACUUGUUUGGGCUUUAGGCACCCAAAAGCCAAUCUAUACACCAUUCAACUGACAACUUAUUUAAUGGGAAGGAUCCUAAGAGGAGGAACAUGAUGGACCAUCCUCGGGCUCCCUGUGGCCACCGGGAACCUGCCUGGCUGGACACUGGUUCCCCUAGAUGUGAUCUCUUGAGCCGAGCGGGCAGACCCACCCAGUCUCGGCCUGCAUCGUCUUGGGGGAGGGCAGCCCCACAUGUUACUUCCUGCAGCUCAGCCUUGCCUUCAGCUCCGAGAGUGUCCCCUGGCCUGAGGAAGCGGAGACUCAGAUCCCUCCUGGCCAGGAUCCUGGGCUCAGACGCUCUUCUGGCUCUGACAUGGCAGAACCUCCUGCCUUGUUCCUGCAUCCUGUUCCCUUCUCAGUCUCAGUUCUUCUCAGAGGCUUCUGUGUUGGUUCCUGUUCUGCUGACGUGCCUGGUAUCCAGGUCCUGGGCUGGGGCCAACACCCUGCUGUGGGCUUUGCUUGAGACAACAGGGUGCGGUGGGAUCCCAGCCCAUUCACUCACUGGCCGUGUGACUCAGGUAUAUUACGUAGCCCGACUGGCCUCGGUUUCCCUAUAUGGGUGAUGGGAACUGUAGAAUAUACCUCCACAGAGGGAAAGAUAACUGUGUGUUAGUGUGUGUUGCUAACCAGUAACUGGCACGACUGGUCCUGCUCCUAGGGGUUGGAUCUGCUGGAUCCAGCCAGCUGGGGCCUUGGUAACCUUCACAGAUGUCUCGAUAUCUGUGUUGCUGAGGCUCACCUGUGCCCCUCCCCCACUCCCAUCACAGGGCUUUGCCCACUUGUUGGGACAGUUCAAAGUUUCAUCUUAUGCCGCUCCCUUCCUCAAAGUCACUAUAAGCUCAAACUCUAGCUGGACUUCUCUAGUAUCUCCUUGGACAGGAGGCCUGCCCAAUGAACCACAAUUGAUCUGUGUGUGCAUGGGAUUGGACUGGCUUGUCCACUCCCUGCUGAUCCCAAGAAGGAAAUUACAGAUCAAUUUCACUUAAAAAUACAGCUGCAAAAAUCAGCAGUGGAAUAAACUAAUGGCCUCAGUACUUUGGGAAAUAUUUGCUGUGUAACUCCCCUCCACUAGACACGGUCCUUAGCACUGGUGAUUCUUCUGUCCUCGGGGCCAUGAUGGAGUCCUGAGGCCCCUGGGGGUUGGAGGGAGGGGUGGAGCAGACAUGUGGACAUUCAAUUACUUUACAGUCCCUGUGACAAAUGUGAUAGUGGAGGAAGAGAGGACUGUGGGAGCCCAGAGGGUUGGGCCGGCAACUCUUGUUUCCAAAAAGUGAGGGUUGGAAGGCUUCAUGGAGUAGGUGACAUUUGAAUAGGUCCCUGGAGGUCGAUAUCUGUAUAUCUUUGUCUCCUAAUUUUUUUCAGAUAAAUUUUAUAGUCAUAUACCAGGGUCUUAAAAGAUGAGUUUUGAAAAAUUACCAAGCAUGGCUCAUGCCAGUAAUAUGUGCCUGGUUCAAAGAGACUAAUAUUAAUAGGAAUAAAACAUAAAAAUUAGAACCCCCAAUAUUUAGCAUAGUGCCUAGAAUAUAAUCAAUGCUCAACAAAUACCUGAUGAAUGAAUGAAUGUAGUCUCGGUAGAUGCAGAAAUAUACUGGAAAUAAUUAUAUGUGCUUUGGAAAGUAUCAUAAAACUAAAACUAAGGGUCUUAGAGGAUUUACUCCUAAAUAUGAUAAAGAACCUGCCUGUGUAUAAUCAUGUACCAAGCCUUGCAUGGGGGCUGCAGGUUCCAAGUGGAGAAAUUCUAGAAGUGUGCUCUGAAAAACAGGAACUAAACCAAAAUGUCCCUUAUCGCUACUCUUAUUUAACAUAGUUUAACAGAUGCUUGUCAUACCAAUAUAGGAACAAAAAGAAACUUAGAGGGAUUGGUAUAGGGAAGGAAGAGAUAAAAACAUCGCUGUUUGCAAAUGACACAAUUUCUAUUCAAAGAAAAUUACAAAAUCCUAUGUGACUGCUUCUGAUCAGAAGUCACAGUAUUGAAGGGUCAGUAUCCCGGGUUUUUGCCUAGAUUUCAUGCUUAGGCAGUUAAAAUUCCAGUGAAAUACUUCAGAAGGCAUGCGUAAUGAUCAUCCUAAUAAUCAGGAAAAAUUGGUGGACAAGCGUACUGAAGGAUGUCUUGAAAAUCUUUUAGCAGUGGGCUCCUCUCAGCAAAUGAAGCAGGUAAGCAGUAGUUAUUAAAACUAUACAGUAUUAGGAUCAGACAGAAAAAGGAGAGAUGGAUACAAUAAAAUAAUCUAAAUAAAUAGAAGGCAUUGCUAUUGGUGAAUUUGGAAAGGCAGACAAUAGUGAGAGACAUUAUUUUAAGGUAAAUGGCUCCUGGAAAUUCCCUGGCCAUCCAGUGUUAGAUUAGGGCUGUGCAUUCUCAUUGCUGAAGACCUGAGUUCAGUACCUGGUUGGGGAACUGAAAUCCCACAAGCCUCACGGUAUGGCAAAAAAAAAAAAAUAAUAAUAAUAAUUAAAAAAAUACAGUAAAUGACUCUUGGGAAGAACUAAAUAAUAGUAUAGAGAAAAUGAACGCAGAUAUGUCUUAUAGUUAUAAAUUCUAGAUGUGUUUAAAACUCAGUUUUAAAACCUCUUUAAAACUCAGGAAAAGUAGAUGGAGUAUUUAUCCUCGCUGUGGAGAGCAAAUGUAUUUGAAAUUUCCAUAAAAAUGAUCAUUGAAGAAAUAGGAUAUGCUGUAAAGGAAUAAAAUCUGUAAAGUAAAAAUAUAACUAUAUACCCAGUCAUCUCUUGGUGGAGUAUGUCGGCCUGGGGCUGGGGUGGGGCUCUCACAGUGACAUGUUUACAGCUGGGGUGACUCAGUAAAGUGGAUUUUUUCUCCCCAACCCCCCCCCCCCAGUAAUUAAAUUGUGCUAAAGGGGAAGGUAUAGAAGAGGGAAAUAUUUGUGAGAAACUGAUAGCUAUAAGAGCAUGUUGUCAAAAGCAUGCACAGAACUGAGCAGGCUCUUUAGGGUGAAUAUUCAGAUUGUAUUGCUAAAAUAACCAAAACAUGGGAACAGAUAAUUUCAUAUAGGGCCCAGUUAAUAAAGUGAGAUGUGGAAAACAGUUCAACUUCCUAAACACACAAGAUACUUAAGUUAAAACAGAUCUGAGUUGGUUGGCCUAUCUUAUUAGUGACAAAUAGAUCAAAUUUAUAAAACUCACUAUUGAGGACUAUGGGAAAGAAAACAGGGUACCAUUGGCAUUAUCGGAAAGGGGAGCUGUUUUUCUAGGGAGCAUGGUGACUUUGGUGACACUGCUUAUAUCUUUUUUUUUUGACUCUGCUGCACAGUGCGUGGGAUCUUAGUUCCCUGACCAAGGAUUGAAUCUGUGCCUUCUGCCAGUGGAAGCUCGGAUUCUUAAGCCCUGGAUUGCCAAGGAAGUCCCAACACUGCGCAUACCUUUUGACUAUUAUUUUUAUUUCUGAAAAUAAGUCCCACAGAAGUAAUCCUAAAGGGGCGGAAAACCAACUCGUCCAAAGAUGGGAAAAAAUUGGAAAUCAUCCACAUGUAGGUAACCCAGGAAAGGUUGCAUAGACUCGGUGACAGCAGUGCAGAGGAAUACAUGCCCACGUAGAGAGUGAGGGCUGGUUACACGCACCCAGAAUGGCACGGAGUGGCUCACCUGUGCUCAGGGCAAGCCGGUGAACAUCCACACACGCACACUGAAAAGAAUCUGGAAAAGGGCAGAGUUUAUUUGAUGUGUUUUUGAUCAAGUUUCCACCCCGCCCCCCCCAGUAAAAUUGUUAAUAUGUAAGGUAGGUUUUUCAAAGAAGAAAGGAGGGGAGGAAAUUCUGAUAGUAAAAAGGGGAAACGUGGGCAGGGUAUGGUGAAGAGACAGCCUGGGCAGGGCGUCCACGUGGGCUGGAUUUGAGUCACUGCGUUGCCAUGCGGUUUGGGGCAAGUCACACAUCUUCUCCAGCUUCCCUUGUCUCCACCCCAAAACGAGGUAAUGGGGACAACCACCAAUGCGAUCCCAGGAGUUCUUGCCUUCUGAGCAAACACUCUUUCAUGAACCCGCAUUGCAGAGUUCUUGGGGGGGCCCUGGCUGGUGUCCUUCGUGCUGUGCCCUUCUCUACAGAAUGUUUGUAGUUCUGGGCAGCUCCACUUCUAGGGUGACAGCAGAGAUGGGGGGCAGACAAAGAACAUAUCCCAGAACUAGACAGGCAGCAGAGCCAUUGCAAAUAGCCCUGAGAAGGUACUGCAGCCCACUGGAAGCAUUGAACAAAGCAAUAGGGACCCCUUCUGUUUCACAACCAGCGAUGUGGCCCAAGCAAAAAAGACAGAGCCUUAAAAGAGAACAUUCUGGUGAGCAAAUGCAGAUUGAUCAGGCUGUUGAAUUUUUUUAAGAAGAUGUACUUGUGGACAAGGCAAGAAGGGAAGGAGCCCAGCCGCUUAACUGGUGUGUUUGGGACACUUUGGGGCCUAACUAAUACAUUCUAGUGUUGAGCUCUUCUAAUUGGAAGCUGGAUGACCUUGAACUUCAUAACCCGAGCCCCGGUUUCCUCAUUGUGAAAAAUGAGGAUAACCUCUCGAGUCUGUUGUGAAAAGGACUUGGGAUGUUGUGCCUGAGUGUUCUCUGUGCUUUCAGCUACUCUUUGUCAAGGUUUUCCUGGAUGCCUGCCAAAAAAAAUGGCAUGACGCUGAGUCCCGUAGGGAGUACAGAGCAGUCUGAGUGAUCAUUUGGGCCUCUGGGGAGCGUGUAUAGCCAGGAGCGGGGUGUUUGCAUGAACCCCUGCAAAAGUAUGUCAUGAGAAGGUAGCAAGGUCGGGGUGGUGUUUUUAGGAUGAAGGAAAUUGGGCCCUUCAGGGCAAGGAGUGAGGAGCUAGUUAGGAGGCACAGUAUGGGGCUGCCUGAGAGAGAGAGGUGGUAUUUGGUGGGGGAAGGUUCCAGAAGGCUUGAGGUGGAUUUAAGAGCCCUGCAGGAUGUAUUGGACACAUCUGUGGCUGUUACCUUGUGUGGGCCUUAAGCAACCAACCUGCGAGGUGAGGGCUCUGAGGUUCGCAGGGACUGGGGGACCCGAGCUCCCUCCCGGGCUGACUGGGCCUAGCACAGAGUCCUCUCGCCUGCUGUGCUGCUCCUGUGAACCACACACCCUCUCAGAAAGAGCGGGCCCGGGCACUUCUCGCUCUGAGGAGAGGGGCUGUGGAGAAGGAGAUGAAGGGCAGGAAGUUUCUGAGGUGGAGACGAAGGUGAAGGUCGUGAGGGGCUCUGACUGAUUUUUCAAGAGGCAGUGAUAGAUCGUGGAACCUGGAGUCAGUCACUGAGGUGAGUCCCAGCUUUAGAGGUGCUGCGACUGUGACCAAGUAAAUCAACCUUUCUGAGCCUCAGUUCCUACCUCUGUAAAAUGGGUCCAUUCAGCUUACCUCCUGGAGACUGGGAGGACUAACUCAUUUAGAGUCAUGUAUGGAAAGUAUUUGGCACUCCCAACGUAGACAGCAUAUUAAAAAGCAGAGACAUUACUUUGCUAACAAAGGUCUGUCUAGUCAAGGCUAUGGUUUUUCCAGUGGUCAUAUAUCGAUGUGAGAGUUGGAUUAUAAAGAAAGCUGAGCACCUAAGAAUUGAUGCUUUCGAACUGUGGUGUUGGAGAAGACUCUUGAGAGUCCCUUGGACUGCAAGGAGAUCCAACCAGUCCAUCCAAAAGGAGAUCAGUCCUGCGUGUUCAUUGAAAGGACUUAUGCUGAAGCUGAAACUCCAAUACUUUGGCCACCAGAUGCGAAGAGCUGACUCAUUGGAAAAGACCCUGAUGCUGGGAAAGAUUGAGGGCAGGAGGAGAAGGGGAUGACAGAGAAUGAGAUGGUUGGAUGGCAUCACUGACUCAAUGGACAUGGGUUUGGGUGGACUCCGGGAAUUGGUGAUGGACAGGGAGGCCUGGCGUGCUGCGGUUCAUGGGAUCGCGAAGAGUCGGACACGACUGAGUGACUGAACUGAACUGAAGGCUUCCAUACAUGACAGCUGCCAUGAUGAUGAUAAUGACGAUUGUUGUUAUUAUUUUACUUUGUUUUUUGUAAUCAUGAAAGAUUGGCGCCUCUUAGAAAUGAAUAGUUUGGCUUUGCUGCCUGGUGGGUCAGUAACACGUUUUGCUUCACGUGGGCAAGUAAAUGCUUUUCUCUCUCUGCGCUAAUUUAUUUUUGAUUUAAAGCAACUAACCUUUAUUAAGGACCUUCUGUGUUUCAGACAUUUUGUUCUGUAAUUUUACAUAUAUUGUCUCAUUUAAAUCCUCCCAUUAAUUCUUUGGGAAGAAAGGUUUAAGUAUUCUUGUUCUUUAAAACAGUGUUUUUGAUAUGAACUAUUUUAAAGUGUUUAUUGAAUUUGUUACAAUAUUGACUCUGUUUUAUAUUUUAUAGUUGUCUUGGCCCUGAGGCACGUGGGAUUUUAGCUCCCUGACCAGGGAUCAAACCCAUACCCCCGGCAUUGGAAGGCCAAGGCCCAACCACUAGACCACCAGGGAGGUCCCAGUAUUCUUGUUUGUAAGAUAGGGAAAUGGAGUCUUAGAGAGUUGACAAGAGGGGAUCCAAACUCUGAAUCUCUGAGCAAACUUCUGGUGGGCACUGGGUGCAGGGCCUGGGUGAGCCCGGGCCUUGCCCCUUCCUAGUCAGUGAACUGGGACCAAGCUGGCGGGGGUUGGGAGGGGGGAGUCUUAUUUCCUUUUCCCCUCAUAAUAGCAGUUUUGAGUCAAAGUAUUUAACCCCAGGGCUUACUCUUCUGUGGUUACAUGGCAAUGAUAACAGCAAUUAAUUGGAAGGUUAUUGUAGAGAUUAAACAAGAUAAUACCCAAAGCUCUGGAUCACAGCUGCAAGUGGUGGCUGCCAUCGCCCCUGUCUCCGGCCUCAGACUCUCUCUCGCCCCUGGGAAAGGGGCCUGUUUGUCAGCUUUAGCCUGGAGAAUGGGUAUUAUGUGUGAGUGCAUGUGCUGAGUCAUGUCUGACUCUUUGCAACCUUGUGGACUGUAGCCCACCAGGUUCCUCUGUCCAUGGGAUUUUCCAGGCAAGAAUACUAGAGUGAGCUGCCAUCUCCUCCUCCAGGGGAUUUUCCCGACCCAAGGAUUGAACCCGCAUCUGCUGUGUCUCCUGCACUGUAGGCAGAUUCUUGACCGCUGGAGCCGUUCAGAAAGCCCAAUGGGUAUCAUAGCUUUGACUAAAUAUGUAGAUGUUUUAGGGGACCUUAAGAGGAGUUUGCCGAGCAUUGCAGUGUGAACUUAUUUCCACUUUGGAUGAAUCCAAAGCAGACUCAGUGUGGGUGUUCCCUAGUACGAGAAAGCUAAGGUCUUGACUUCUUGGGGCCUUUGAUUCUGCAGUUGCUUAGCUGGGGCAGGAAGGAGGAGCUGGCAGGAAGAGCAGUUAGAGGGCAGGAUUGAGAGGAGAGAGGAGAGUGAAUUGCUAGACUGGGAGGGUUGGGAAAUGAGGUUGGGUGGGGCCCCUGACCCAGUAGAGGCCUGUGGGUCAGCCAGAGGCCUCCAGGCUGGGUGCAGAGGGGCCAGAGGUCAGGUGUUCUGAUAACUGGGCUUCUUGGAGCUGGCCUGGGUCAUGGUGUCCAGGCCAGCUGGAUUGGGGUAGAGGGUGGAGAGGAAAGGGGAAUCCCCCGAGAGGGAUGGAAACCCAUGAUGCAGCCACAGAGACACCCAGGAGGGAGAGGAGGUGGGCGUAUCCUCCAGGCCAUGGGGUGGACUGCCAGUUGGUGAUUCUCUGAAGGUGGAGGAGAAGAGGAGUCUAAGGGGAGCCCCAGUUUUAGGGCAAUGACCGAGAGGAACCCAUCAGAACCAGGGUGGAAGGGAAAGCUGCAGAACUGACAUGGGUGUGUAGGGGUUGAGAACCUGUGAGAGUGGCAGAUGGGGACAUCUGGUCAACAACAACAUCCCGGCUGAAGGCCAGUGCUAUCUGCAAACAGAUCCUGGUCCUGGAAGCCCCCAGCUGUGGGUGAGUCUGGCAGCAGAGGGCGGGCUUGUUGGUUGGGCUGGAGGCCGCCAAUUGGAGAAACAUGAGCUCCAGAUUGGUUUUCUUUUUUUUUUUCUCUUUUGGGGGGCUGUGCCAGCUCUUAGUUGCUACACGUGGGAUCUUCACUGCUGCAUGAGGGAUCUAGUUCCCCGACCAGGGAUCAAACCCAGGCCCC
ensembl:lncRNA